GACGAACGCUGGCGGCGUGCCUAAUACAUGCAAGUAGAACGCUGAAGGAGGAGCUUGCUCUUCUGGAUGAGUUGCGAACGGGUGAGUAACGCGUAGGUAACCUGCCUGGUAGCGGGGGAUAACUAUUGGAAACGAUAGCUAAUACCGCAUAACAGUAGAUGUUGCAUGACAUUUGCUUAAAAGGUGCAAUUGCACCACUACCAGAUGGACCUGCGUUGUAUUAGCUAGUUGGUGGGGUAACGGCUCACCAAGGCGACGAUACAUAGCCGACCUGAGAGGGUGAUCGGCCACACUGGGACUGAGACACGGCCCAGACUCCUACGGGAGGCAGCAGGAGGGAAUCUUCGGCAAUGGACGGAAGUCUGACCGAGCAACGCCGCGGGAGGGAAGAAGGUUUUCGGAUCGUAAAGCUCUGUUGUAAGAGAAGAACGAGUGUGAGAGUGGAAAGUUCACACUGUGACGGUAUCUUACCAGAAAGGGACGGCUAACUACGUG
rnacentral:rRNA from 1 species